UGGUAAUUCUAGAGCUAAUACAUGCACCAAAGCUCCGAUCCUCGCGGAGAGGAGCGCAUUUGUUCGCCACAAAACCAAGCGCCCAUCUGGGCGUCCAGUGCUGAACCAGAACAACUCAGCUGAUCGCACGGUCUUGUACCGGCGACGUGUCUUUCAAGUGUCUGCCUUAUCAACUUUCGAUGGUAGUGUACCUGACUACCAUGGUUGUGACGGGUAACGGAGGAUAAGGGUUCGACUCCGGAGAAGGGGCCUGAGAAAUGGCCACUACGUCUAAGGAUGGCAGCAGGCGCGCAAAUUACCCACUCUCAACGCGAGGAGGUAGUGACGAGAAAUAACGAGACCGUUCUCAUACGAGGCCGGUUAUUGGAAUGGGUACAAUUUAAA
rnacentral:rRNA from 1 species